rnacentral:pre_miRNA from 1 species
CAAGUACUCCCUUCGUUCGGAAUUACUUGUCAUCAAAAUGGAUGUGUCUAGAACUAAAAUACAUCUAGAUACAUCCAUUUCAAUGACAAGUAUUUUCAGACGGAGGGAGUACAAG